rnacentral:rRNA from 1 species
UACGAAGGGUGCAAGCGUUACUCGGAAUUACUGGGCGUAAAGCGUGCGUAGGUGGUUUGUUAAGUCUGUUGUGAAAGCCCCGGGCUCAACCUGGGAAUGGCAAUGGAUACUGGCAAGCUAGAGUGCGGUAGAGGGUAGUGGAAUUCCCGGUGUAGCGGUGAAAUGCGUAGAGAUGCGGAGGAACACCGAUGGCGAAGGCAAUCCCCUGGGCCUGCACUGACGCUCAUGCACGAAAGCGUGGGGAGCAAACAGG